rnacentral:rRNA from 1 species
UGGGGAAUAUUGCACAAUGGGCGCAAGCCUGAUGCAGCCAUGCCGCGUGUAUGAAGAAGGCCUUCGGGUUGUAAAGUACUUUCAGCGGGGAGGAAGGGAGUAAAGUUAAUACCUUUGCCCAUUGACGUUACCCGCAGAAGAAGCACCGGCUAACUCCGUGCAAGCAGCCGCGGUAAUACGGAGGGUGCAAGCGUUAAUCGGAAGUACUGGGCGUAAAGCGCACGCAGGCGGUUUGUUAAGUCAGAUGUGAAAUCCCCGGGCUCAACCUGGGAACUGCAUCUGAUACUUGCAAGCUUGAGUCUCGUAGAGGGGGGUAGAAUUCCAGGUGUAGCGGUGAAAUGCGUAGAGAUCUGGAGGAAUACCGGUGGCGAAGGCGGCCCCCUGGACGAAGACUGACGCUCAGGUGCGAAAGCGUGGGGAGCAAACAGG